rfam:Ictidomys tridecemlineatus contig042327, whole genome shotgun sequence.
GGGGUUGUGGCUCAGCGGUAGAGCGCUCACCUCGCACGUGGGAAACUCUGGGUUCGAUCCUCAGUACCA